rnacentral:rRNA from 1 species
AUUGAACGCUGGCGGCAUGCCUUACACAUGCAAGUCGAACGGUAACGCGGGGCAACCUGGCGACGAGUGGCGAACGGGUGAGUAAUAUAUCGGAACGUGCCCAAUAGUGGGGGAUAGCCCGGCGAAAGCCGGAUUAAUACCGCAUACGACCUGAGGGUGAAAGCGGGGGAUCGCAAGACCUCGCGCUAUUGGAGCGGCCGAUAUCAGAUUAGGUAGUUGGUGGGGUAAAAGCCUACCAAGCCUACGAUCUGUAGCUGGUCUGAGAGGACGACCAGCCACACUGGGGCUGAGACACGGCCCAGACUCCUACGGGAGGCAGCAGUGGGGAAUUUUGGACAAUGGGCGCAAGCCUGAUCCAGCCAUGCCGCGUGCGGGAAGAAGGCCUUCGG